rnacentral:rRNA from 1 species
AGUGAGGAAUAUUGCACAAUGGAGGAAACUCUGAUGCAGCAACGCCGCGUGGAGGAUGACGCAUUUCGGUGUGUAAACUCCUUUUAUAUGUCAAGAAAAUGACGGUAGCAUAUGAAUAAGCACCGGCUAACUCCGUGCCAGCAGCCGCGGUAAUACGGAGGGUGCAAGCGUUAUUCGGAAUCACUGGGCGUAAAGGACGCGUAGGCGGGAUGCCAAGUCUGAUGUGAAAUCCUAUGGCUCAACCAUAGAACUGCAUUGGAAACUGGUAACCUAGAGUAUGGGAGGGGGAGAUGGAAUUAGUGGUGUAGGGGUAAAAUCCGUAGAUAUCACUAGGAAUACCGAAAGCGAAGGCGAUCUCCUGGAACAAUACUGACGCUAAGGCGUGAAAGCGUGGGGAGCAAACGGGAUUAGAUACCCCGGUAGUCCACGCCCUAAACGAUGUUCACUAGUCGUCGGAAUGCUAGUCAUUUCGGUGAUGCACUUAACAGAUUAAGUGAACCGCCUGGGGAGUACGGUCGCAAGAUUAAAACUCAAAGGAAUAGACGGGGACCCGCACAAGUGGUGGAGCAUGUGGUUUAAUUCGAAGAUACGCGAAGAACCUUACCUAGCCUUGACAUUGAUUGAACGAACCAGAGAUGGAUCGGUGCCCUUCGGGGAACAUGAAAACAGGUGCUGCACGGCUGUCGUCAGCUCGUGUCGUGAGAUGUUGGGUUAAGUCCCGCAACGAGCGCAACCCUCGUCCUUAGUUGCCAGCAGGUUAAGCUGGGCACUUUAAGGAGACUGCCUUCGCAAGGAGGAGGAAGGUGAGGACGACGUCAAGUCAUCAUGGCCCUUAUGGCUAGGGCUACACACGUGCUACAAUGGGGCGUACAGAGAGUUGCGAUACCGCGAGGUGGAGCCAAUCUCAUAAAGCGUCUCUCAGUUCGGAUUGAAGUCUGCAACUCGACUUCAUGAAGCUGGAAUCACUAGUAAUCGUAGAUCAGCAAUGCUACGGUGAAUACGU